UAACAUUGUCACGAACUAUUGUAGCACCAAAUGCAAGCGCAACAGGCGGCGUACGAGGCGGCGUUGGCCGAAGAGAGGAGGAUACGACAAGAGAACGAGCAGAAGCAGGCGGCCGAGAUGGCCCAGAUGUACAACUACAUUCGAGGUCUUUCUGUUCAAAUGAGUAAUCUCAUCCCAGCCAUGCAAUUCCCUGUGGCUCCUGCUCCUACUACUCCUCCGAAUCUAUCGGCGGCAUCGAAUACGCCAGAAUUGUCGCCGGGCGUACAAAACAUGUUGCCACCUCAGCUCAACGCCCCACCGCCAUUCGACGACCCACCUCAGCCAUGAACUUGUUAAUUUGUGCCUCUAUGGAUGUAAACUUGAUGAUGCUAGGAGGAUUUUCAAUAAGGAUUUGUGGGUUUGUAAACUAGUGAACUUAAUUUAUGCAUUGACUUGUGAAUU